rnacentral:tRNA from 2 species
CGGGGUGUAGCGCAGAUGGUCAGCGUACUAUCUUGGGGUGAUAGAGGUCGCCGGUUCGAAUCCGGUCACUCCGACCA